UUUUAAAAGAAAAUUUUCUCUGUGUAUGUUUUAUACAUUAAAUAAUAUUAUAUGUUAUAAAAACUAAGAAUAAUAAGAAUCAUAAUAGCGGAAUAUAGUAAAAUUCGUAUAACUUUGUGCAUUUGGCACAUCAAAAAUGUAUUAUGUACGUUUAAUUUCAGUUUUUACGCAAAACAUUUCUGAUAAAAUCAAGGACGCCUGUUUCCGAGCAACUAACAUAAAGAAUAUUACUUUAGCACAAUUUCAGUCAUACUCAAAUUGCGAAUAAUUCUACAAUAUAUCGGCUUCCAGAAAGUUGACGUUUAUAAGAGAUCAGACUGCAGGCUGCAAAGUAAUAAAAAAGUUUGAAGUUUCUCGUAACUUUCUUUUCGAUUAAAUUCGAGGAUGUUAGACUCAGCUUAAAACAGUGGCCGAAAUGUAAACCAAACACGCCCAUGUAGACAUGUAGACAACUGCCGAUUCCGAAGAUAGAUGGUAAGAUAUAUCAUCAGCCCAGAGCUAUCGCCCGUUUUAUCGCUAAGAACGGUAAUUUAUAUGGGUCCGAUGAAUUCGAGACUAUGGAGAUUGUUGUCACAAUCGAUGAUAUAACAUAAGGUAAUAAUGACAAUGGCCAGCGAACGUGGGUGAAUAACCGACUGGCAUUACGUAAUUGAAAACAGGCAUAGAACUUUUCAAUAUUUUCACGCCAACGGCAGGUCUGAUUAAUCAAUAUGAUGCAAUGCACGUUGUGUGCGUACAGGAUUAUAAUGUUACUGAUGGAAAGUGCUGUACCGCAAAAGAGCGGAAGCCGCUCUUUCAGAAUCAACAAAGCGUGCAUUGCCCGAACAAUUGUCGCACGCUGUAUCUCUGUUGCUCCUCUUGCAGUGUAUUGCGAAAAUGAAGACUCUCUCUACCUUUGUGUGACGCAGUGUCAGAUUUAUUUUCGUAGCUUCCGUUGUUUACUACUGGCAACACGACUCCGCUUUCAAGGUAAAACUCAAGGGAACCGCCCUCCAAAAAUUGCCCUUCUUUUUCGACAAGUUUGAGUCUCAAGUUAAGAUUAACGGCAGAUACUUCAGCGAUGCUGUCGCGGCGUUGUCAUGUAGGCUGUAUAUUUUGAACGUCUAGAUUUUAUCCUGAUCAGGAAUGAAUCAAGUUCAUCCUGAAUUGAAGAAGUGGAAAAGUUUCGCGCCCUAACGCUACAGCUUCCAUCGAGAUGCGACCUAAAAUUUAAUAAUACAUAAAAUUUUUAGUUAUAGUUUUUUUAAAUUUGUAGAUAUCGUUGCUCAUCGGCGAGUUUGUUAUUUUUCCUCUCUCUUAAAAAUUGCUUCGUUACUGUUUUUUUUUCGUGAUGAGAUAAAAAUCUGAAGUAAUCUACAAAAAGAAUAAA